UACGAAGGGGGCUAGCGUUGCUCGGAAGUACUGGGCGUAAAGGGCGCGUAGGCGGGGCGUUAAGUUAGAGGUGAAAGCCCAGGGCUCAACCCUGGAAUUGCCUUUAAUACUGUCGACCUUGAGUAUGGCAGAGGUGUGUGGAACUCCGAGUGUAGAGGUGAAAUUCGUAGAUAUUCGGAAGAACACCAGUGGCGAAGGCGACACACUGGGCCAUUACUGACGCUGAGGCGCGAAAGCGUGGGGAGCAAACAGG
rnacentral:rRNA from 1 species